UAGGGAAUCUUCCGCAAUGGACGCAAGUCUGACGGAGCAACGCCGCGUGAGUGAAGAAGGAUUUCGGUUCGUAAAACUCUGUUGUUAGAGAAGAACAGCGCAUAGAGUAACUGUUAUGCGUGUGACGGUAUCUAACCAGAAAGCCACGGCUAACUACGUGCCAGCAGCCGCGGUAAUACGUAGGUGGCAAGCGUUGUCCGGAUUUAUUGGGCGUAAAGCGAGCGCAGGCGGUCAAUUAAGUCUGAUGUGAAAGCCCCCGGCUCAACCGGGGAGGGUCAUUGGAAACUGGUUGACUUGAGUGCAGAAGAGGAGAGUGGAAUUCCAUGUGUAGCGGUGAAAUGCGUAGAUAUAUGGAGGAACACCAGUGGCGAAGGCGACUCUCUGGUCUGUAACUGACGCUGAGGUUCAAAAGCGUGGGUAGCAAACAGG
rnacentral:rRNA from 1 species